CGUCCUCUUAAAAACAUUGGAAUUUUGUGCCAUGUGAAUGAAUUAUCUUCUGAAAAAUUAAACUCAUGCCCCUGCUGAUGGACUGGCUGAACAAGUUCAAUCCUGUUCAGGAUACAACCACAUAACAGUUCUGGAGCAAUCAACUAUCCUAACUUUCUUCAAACUGACCAACCCUACAUUAGAUGCUUUAAAGCCCCCAGACCUGGAGAAGAGACUGGGUUUUGGCUUUCUGAGUCAUGUUGUGGGUCUGUGUGUGUGUUUCCCUCAUCCCCAUCACCUUUGGAGAGGGUCUUUUUCUCUGUAUGUGUGUCUGUUGUGUAUGUGUUUCUUCCUCCACAAUCCCCAAUAAAUGCCUUUCUUUAAUUGCUGAUUCUA